UACGUAGGGUGCAAGCGUUAAUCGGAAUUACUGGGCGUAAAGCGUGCGCAGGCGGUGAUGUAAGACAGGUGUGAAAUCCCGGGGCUUAACCUGGGAACUGCAUUUGUGACUGCAUCGCUGGAGUGCGGCAGAGGGGGAUGGAAUUCCGCGUGUAGCAGUGAAAUGCGUAGAUAUGCGGAGGAACACCGAUGGCGAAGGCAAUCCCCUGGGCCUGCACUGACGCUCAUGCACGAAAGCGUGGGGAGCAAACAGG
rnacentral:rRNA from 1 species